AUUGAACGCUGGCGGCAGGCCUAACACAUGCAAGUCGAGCGGUUGACGGGAGCUUGCUCCCUGAUUCAGCGGCGGACGGGUGAGUAAUGCCUAGGAAUCUGCCUAUUAGUGGGGGACAACGUUUCGAAAGGAACGCUAAUACCGCAUACGUCCUACGGGAGAAAGCAGGGGACCUUCGGGCCUUGCGCUAAUAGAUGAGCCUAGGUCGGAUUAGCUUGUUGGUGAGGUAAUGGCGCACCAAGGCGACGAUCCGUAACUGGUCUGAGAGGAUGAUCAGUCACACUGGAACUGAGACACGGUCCAGACUCCUACGGGAGGCAGCAGUGGGGAAUAUUGGACAAUGGGCGAAAGCCUGAUCCAGCCACGCCGCGUGUGUGAAGAAGGUCUUCGGAUUGUAAAGCACUUUAAGUUGGGAGGAAGGGUUGUAGAUUAAUACUCUGCAAUUUUGACGUUACCGACAGAAUAAGCACCGGCUAACUCUGUGCCAGCAGCCGCAGUAA
rnacentral:rRNA from 1 species